rnacentral:rRNA from 1 species
GACGAACCGUGCGAACGUUAUUCGGAAUCACUGGGCUUAAAGGGUGCGUAGGCGGGUUGCCAAGUCUGUGGUGAAAUCCUCCAGCUUAACUGGAGAACUGCCGUGGAUACUGGCGACCUCGAGGGGUGUAGAGGCUUGCGGAACUGUGCGUGGAGCGGUGAAAUGCGUUGAUAUGCACAGGAACUCCGGUGGCGAAAGCGGCGAGCUGGACACCUUCUGACGCUGAGGCACGAAAGCUAGGGGAGCGAACGGG